rnacentral:tRNA from 1 species
GGCCUGAUAGCUCAACUGCUAGAGCACUGCCCCAGAAUCACAGAGGUCAGGAUUCUAAUCCCCCUUCAGGCCU